UUUCUCUGUUCUUAUCCCUUUUUUUCUCUCCAAAAUUUCACUUUCUUGGCUUCUUGCAAACCUAAAACAGAUUCAAAAUGAGGAGAUCUGAGAAGAAGAUCACAUAUAUCCACCAACAGGUUCUUUUGCUAUUGCAGUAUUUGUAGUACUAUUUAUGAUUGCUUGGUUACUUGAUUUGUUUUUAUCUCAAUUCAUAUUUUGAUAUUAUUAUAAUAAUAAUAAACUUGGGAGUUAGGACGAAGUGAGAUCUUAUCGAAAUCAUUAACAAGGUACUUCUUCACCAUCCCUCAUAAUUAAUCAUUAUUGUUAUUGUCUUAACCACACAUUCGUAGCCGGUUUCUUCCUUUUUCUCUUUCCGAAAACAGUCUUGAUUUUCAAUUUUAGGGUUUCCUUCUCCCGUACUUUCUUCUGCAUAAAUAAUGGCUGAGUAUUUUAUCAUUAUUUGUGCUGUUAAUCUUGUUUUCAUCGGUUUAAAUCCCUUUUACUCAUAUGGGUGUUGUGGAUUCCAUCUUUUUUCCGAGAAAAGGAAGUGAAGCAAGGAUGAUACGGUUUGUGACAAGGGUUUUCUUCGUAUAAAGUAUCCUACUUUUUGCAGGACAACAUCUGUCUGCGUUGCUGGGGUGGAAGGAAGAACAGUUCUCUUGGAGUUGGAGUUGAGACGCAUGCAAGCAUAUAUAUGUAUAUACUUCUCUCAGAAUGGCAUCAGAUCAAAGAUGAAUUUUCAGGUCCUGAUGCAAGCUUUUGGAAGCAACAGUUCCUUAUCUAAAUGCACUUAAAAAGUUGCAGUAAAGACCACAUAACGAAGUUGGCGACAAGAGAACCGUAAGGUAGCUGAAAUAUGAGACUUGGGCUUUAAAACUUAAACAAGCCCAAAACCAAGAUUGAAUUGGACUACUGGACCCCUCAUUUGACGGUCGAUGCCUUUGACGUUCACCAUCGCCGCUGCGCUUGCUGUUCGCACAAUCGGUCAAUCGCACUUCCCCAAUCCCCAUUCGAUUAAUCGAUUCUUUUGAGUUUGCCUAACGAGCGAGACGUUCCGAUUCCAGAGGCAUAGGCGCAUAGCCGCAGGGGAUUACUUAGGCAACGGUAAGGCAAGGCAACGGUAACUUCUCUAUUCUCUAACGGGCAAGGGCGCAAGGCAAGGGCAACGGUUGUGACGCUAUGUUUAUGGCCUUGAAUCGAGGAGUUGACGCGACCGAUGAUUGGUUACUGCCGAGUGUCGACUGCCAUCUGUUCGUCGUGCUCGAGAGUGGUAACUCAGUAACUGCUAAUUGGAGGCUUGGAUUUUGCCAUUUUGGAAUUGGAAGUCCGAAGUUGUCAAGUUGGGACUGUUGAACAAGUCUGGAUUGGAAUUUGGAAGCAGGGCCAAGUCUUCAAGAAUGAGUCUUCAAGUUGGAAAGGAAACAUGAGCUUAAUCCAGGUUCUAUCAUUCUAUGCUUGUUGCUUACUUGCUUGACUAUUGCUUGGAUAUUUGUUGCUUGUUUUUCAUAAGAUAUUAGACAUGUUUCCUAGAUCACAACCAUCAGGUGCACAAAAUAGAAAAAGAAAGAAAAGACAACAAGAAAUUGCCCAAUCUUUACAGGGAUCGUUAAAUCGAUAUUUUGUUAGGCAUGAAAAUGUGUCUGAAAAUCCCAUUGAAAAUGUGCCUGAAAAUCCCAUUGGAAAUGUUUCUGAAAAUCCCACUGAAAAUGUUUUUGAAAAUCCCACUGAGAAUGUUUCUGAAAAUCCCAAUGAUUUUGUUGAAAAUAUURAAAAUYUGUGUACUAAUGAAGUUGGGGACGAUGAAAAUCCAUGUAAUGAUGAAGUUMCUUUGAAUAUUUUUGAUCCAAGGGUUUGGGAUGAUUUAGAUUCAAAAAUGAAAGAUUUAGUUGCUGAAAAAGGGCCUAUAAGGGAAACCAACAUCAACUUUCCAAAUGAUAAAAUAGGUAGACACUUUUCUUGUGAACAUUAUGUCCGUAAUUUACGAAAUGGUGAUUCUUAUGAUAGAAAAUGGUUUGUUUAUUCAAAAGAGUUGGAUAAAGUUUUUUGUUGUAAGAUAUUGAAAACUGCUUGGUCUAGAAGUCAAUUAGCUACCGAAGGGAUAAAUGAUUGGAGACAUUUAGGUGAAACAUUAAGUUUGCAUGAAAAUAGUUCUGAGCAUAUGAUUAACUUGAGAACUUGGACUUAGUUGCGAGUGAGAUUGAAUAAAAAUCAAACAAUUGAUAAAGAAUUACAAGAAUUGAUUAAGAAAGAUACAGAUCAUUGGAAAGAAGUUUUGAUUAGAAUAAUUGCUAUUGUGAAGUGUCUAGCACAAUAUAAUUUGGCUUUUCGUGGAUCAAAUGAAAAAAUUUAUCAAAAUUCUAAUGGGAAUUUUUUGGGUAUACUUCAAAUGAUUGCGGAGUUUGAUCCUGUCAUGAAACAACAUUUUCGGCUAAUUAAAGACAAAGAAACUCAUUAUCAUUAUCUUAGCCAUAAAAUUCAAAAUGAACUGAUUCAAUUGUUGGCAUCUGAAGUUAAGAGUGUGAUUAUUAAAAAAAUCAAAGAGGCAAAGUAUUUUUUCCGUAAUUCUUGAUUGCACUCCUGAUGCAAGUCACAAGGAACAAAUGACUUUGAUUAUUAGAUGUGUUGAUAUGUCGUGUGCUCCCAUAAGUGUAGAAGAGUUCUUCUUAGAAUUUUUGGUUGUAGAGGAUACAUCUGGUUUAGGUCUCUUCACUGUGUUACAAAAUGUUUUAAAAUCUCUAGAUUUAAACAUUAAUUGUGUGCAAGGACAAGGUUAUGAUAAUGGAUCUAAUAUGAAAGGAAAACUCCAAGAUGUUCAAAAAAGAUUGCUUGAUGUAAAUCCUAGAGCAUUUUAUAUGUCAUGUGGUUGCCAUAGUUUUAACUUAGUUUUGUGUGAUAUGGCAAAUUCUUGUCAUAAAGCAAAAACUUUUUUUUGGAACAUGUCAAACAAUAUACAAUGUGUUUGCUAAUUCUACUAAGCGAUGUAAUGUUUUACUUGAGUUUAUUGAUGAUCUACACGUUGGGAAAGUCAUAUAGAAAGUGUUAAAGCUAUAAAAAGUCAAUUUGCUCAAAUAAGGGAAGCUUUGUUGAAAUUAUCUCAAGUUAGUGAUGAUGGAAAAUUAUGUAGAGAUGUUGAAUCUUUGGUAAAUGGUGAACUUUCAAGUUUUGAAUUUAUUGUCAGUUUGGUUAUUUGGCAUGAAAUUUUGUAUAUAAUCAAUUUAGUUAGCAAAAAGUUACAAUCUAAAGAUAUGCUACUUGAUGUUGCGGUAAAAAAUUUAGAGGUAUUGGUUUGUUAUUUUGAGAAGUAUAGGGAGACUGGGCUUACUUUUGCCAUUAUUGAAGCUAAACAUAUUGCAAAUGAAAUUGGAAUUGAGCCUGAAUUUUCGAUAAAACGUUCUUAUUUUAGAAAAAAACAGUUUGAUGAGAUUCCAAAUACGGAAAGAGAACAACAAUCUGCUCAAGAAACAUUUAGAACUGAUUAUUUUCUCGUUUUGGUUGAUAUGGCUUUAUCUCAAUUGAAGACUAGAUUUGAGCAAAUGAAAAUUUUGAAUCGAUUUUUGGUUUUUUGUUUGAUGGGUCGAGGUUGGUUCAUUUUAAAUGAUGAAGAAUUGAAAAACUCUUGUAUGAAUCUUGAAGUUGCAUUAACAAAUGGUGAUGAUUGUGAUAUUGAUGGGAAAUAUUUGUUUAU